GUCGGUUAUGGUGACAUGUGCCCUAUCACAAUGGGAGGUAAAAUGGUAGGCACUUUAUGUGCCAUUGCUGGUGUCCUAACCAUUGCUUUGCCUGUUCCCGUCAUUGUCUCCAAC
rfam:Oryzias latipes DNA, chromosome5, strain: Hd-rR.